ensembl:lincRNA
GGGACAGAGAGUAUGGGUGGGCAACGGCCAAAUCCAAACACCAAGAGGGCUGAGACUGAAGCCCUCUACAAAGGACCUGUGCAGCCCACGGAACAACUCCGCAGUUCUCAGCUUGGAGAAAGGAAGGGGAGAAGGGGUCUUCUGGCCCACCAAGUCGAGGGACAUUGAGGAAGUAAUGAAUCUGUGAUGCGUCCAGAAGAAAAUUCACCCUCUGGGAAAAUGAGCUUCCGUAUUCAUGCUUGGUGUAUCUCCAGCAGUAUCUGCUCUACCUCCAAACAACACUGCAAUUAUUUUUUUUCACCCCGUGGGUGAAAAACCGCUGCCCUAUCUCCCUCAUUUAUUGACUCACACUCCUCCCACAAAACUACAGUGUUGAGGGAUCAGUAACAGAAAUGUUCAAGAAGGCCACACUUGUCUUUAUCACUAAUAUGUGACAUGUAAGAUGGCUUGAAGGAAGUACUGAAAUUAACACCCAGAUGUAAAUGAAUACCCGAAGAUGCCUAGCUGGACAUUGCUAAUAUCAACAUUGCAACAGAUCAAUUUGGACAUAAAGCAAACUAUUCAAUAGGGAAGCUAACUAAUAUUCUCUAAUUAGUUAUAAUGAGCAUUUUAAUAGUCUAUGCUAUAUAAAAACAUGUUUGAAUUGAUAUUUAAAAUACACAGCUUCCUAUUCUUUGAAUUAAAUAUUUAAUGUUAUUUUUCCUUAUAGACAAAAAGUUAC